CAUCUAUACAAAGCGGCAUCAUAAAGGUAUUUGCCCCGGGGUUUGAAAAGUUUGCAACCGAGUUGGUCCUGAAGCCGUAUACUGGAGCCAGUCAAAUUGUCGUCGAGAAAGUAGAACUGGAAGGUUCCUCAUUCAUUCGAGCCUACACAGACAUCAAACAUGGACCAAGUUGCCAAGUACACGGGUAUACUAACGCUGGUAA